CAAAAAAUAGUUUAAUUAAAAUAUUAAUUUUGGAGAUUAAAGUUAUAAUAAUUUAUUUUUUUGA
rnacentral:tRNA from 1 species